UCCAGAAAGUGUGUUUCUGUCCAGGGUA
rnacentral:piRNA from 1 species